CUACCAGGCAGAGCGCGUGUGGCCGCCGAGCACAUGGACCCACUGGUCAAGCGGGCUCGGCAAGGCCAGGAUGAAGAGAAGCUACGAACUUAGCAUUCCCAGAGCCCCCCGAGUGGAUAUCCGCGUGGAAAGGAUGUUGGCAGCCCCGGUGACCUCGGAGUCACGGCUGGAUCCACCCUCUUGUCUGAUUUUCUUAACUCUACUACGGUAAGAAGAUGCCCUCCAUCAGCAGGCCGUGUCUGCUGGGACCUCUCUGGAGACUUCCUGAACCCUGUGGAUUUACAGUAAGAUGCAGUUUCCUGGGGAGUAAUUCUGGUGGAUACAAAUUCCGGAGUAUUACACCUGGCUUGCCUGGAGAUGUUACAAGUAGCUGGAUGGAUUCUUCAGCCUGGAUGCCCACUGAAAACAAGGACCGAAACUAAGAGGAUUGUAUCUCUACCCUUGACUCAAUGAGAAUGUUUGUUGUCAUCUCUCGGGCUACCUGGAGCUCCCUCUAAAAUUAUACCCUUUAAGCGUUCCAGAAGGAUUUUGAGAUCCUUUCCUAAAUCAAAGGUGGAAUAUUUGGGGAUUUGGAAAAUUGAGGCUUCAGAGAAAUCAGGAGCGGUGAAUGAUCGAAAUGGACCUUUGAGAUUACAGUGUGGAGCUGACAUUGCCAGUUAAGCCUGGGCAGAUCUGACUUAAUUGAUUUAGUUGUUGGAGCAGAGACAACCCAGAGGCUUGGAUCAGCCUCCCCAUCUGACAGUGUGCUGAUGUGAAGCGUUGACUUAAGAGAUGCCAAGUAACUCAGCAGAUGUCACACAGACGAUAAAUAGCAAAGAUGGAAGUCUUCAUGCCGGAGGCAAUCCUAUAAGACAGCUGAGUUCUGCAGAGCUGGAGACAGACUUGCUCAGGUGAUAGAUCCAGCCAUGAUACUGACCCUAAGAGAAUGAGACGCUCUGCAGAAGACAGAAGAUUCCUGAAACUGGGAAAGGUGCCUAGAAAUCCUGAUAAGAGUGAAGAAGGAGCUGGCAGAGCAGCCUUCCUCCGCACUAUGAAAGACAUCCAACAGAGAGCAAGUUCCCACCUCACUUCCAGCUUGACUCCUUUUUAUCUCCUAACUGUGGUCUGUGAUGUCUUCAGCAAUGGGUACCUGGAGGCACAGCAGCCAUGUUGAACCUAUGAGGUGAUGAAAAACCAUGCAACUAGAAACCAGAAUGGAAGAAAAGAAGAAGCUGGAUCCUUGACUGAAUUGUCGAUGGGGGAUAGUCCAUCAUCCCAGGGCUAAGACCACCUCCAGAUUUCUUGUUUGGUGAAACAAGUCCUGAUUGUUUACAUUCCCUCGUGUUGAGCUGUCUCUUGCUUGUAGCUGAAAGCAUUUCUAAUAGAUAUUCAGAUUAUCAGCCUUAGCUCCAAGCUAGAAUACUCUAUGGGACCUUAGCUUCUCCAUGAAUUCCUUUGCUCAUCUGUGUAAUGCUCAAUAAAUGUAAAUUGAACCCUGAAUGAGGGACAAUGACACUA
rnacentral:lncRNA from 1 species